UUCAAAUAGUAACCCUGUCUCUGGGAAUUUGAAAUUAGCAUAAGCAGCAAGAGCGCAAAGCGACCUCCUAUUCCUAAAAGAUAGCUCUCAACGUCCUCCGCCUGCCACCUCUUCGUGUCUCUUUCUCAUCUGGCUUUCUAGCGCAAUGGUAACCACCAUGAUAAUAUGAUACUUGAGCUCUGCCACUCCAAAAUCCUUUGUUUCAGCAGGCAUUUAUGUGAUAAUGAAGCCGAGAUCAGGUAGGCAUACUUAAGUGAGUUAGGCAACUAAAGAGGUAGACAACUAAAGCGCGGUUCGCGUUUGACUGUUGAUAUGACAAUGACUCCUGCUUUCCCAUAAGCUUCAAUUGAGCGAGGUACCAUCCAUUAGAGACCAUAGCCCUGGAUAUUNN
rnacentral:lncRNA from 1 species